UACGGAGGGUGCAAGCGUUGUCCGGAAUCACUGGGCGUAAAGGGUGCGUAGGCGGGUUCUUAAGUUAGAGGUGAAAGCCUGGAGCUCAACUCCAGAACUGCCUUUAAUACUGGGAAUCUUGAGUUCGGAAGAGGUGAGUGGAACUGCGAGUGUAGAGGUGAAAUUCGUAGAUAUUCGCAAGAACACCAGUGGCGAAGGCGGCUACUGGUC
rnacentral:rRNA from 1 species